AAUUAAGGAAGUUCACUGGAGUAAAAUGGAGGCCUCAGUAAUAUUACCCAUUCUGAAGAAAAAACUAGCCUUCCUUUCAGGAGGAAAGGACAGACGGAGUGGCCUCAUUUUGACAAUUCCAUUAUGCCUUGAACAGACAAAUAUGGAUGAGCUGAGUGUCACCUUAGACUACCUACUCAGCAUUCCAAGUGAGAAGUGUAAGGCUAGAGGAUUUACAGUGAUUGUGGAUGGCAGAAAAUCACAGUGGAAUGUGGUGAAAACAGUAGUCGUAAUGCUACAGAAUGUUGUUCCAGCUGAGGUGUCCCUUGUUUGUGUGGUAAAGCCAGAUGAAUUCUGGGAUAAGAAAGUAACGCAUUUUUGUUUUUGGAAGGAGAAGGAUAGACUUGGCUUUGAGGAGGAUAUUUUGUAAAACUUGAUUUUGGA
rnacentral:sRNA from 1 species